AGAGGGAGGCUUCGAAGGCUACAGAACUUCACCGGGUUGGGGGGGGGGAGAGGAAGGCCUCCUAAAACUAUUGCAAAAUGGUGAAAAGUUUCUGGAAAGGCAAGAAGAAUUUUUAUUAAGUCAGAGUAAGAUGAUAAAUUGCCUAAAGGCAGGAUGGAGCAGAGCAGAGGAGCAAUUUUGCAGUGGGGAAGCAGGGAGGGCUGCUGUGUUUGACACGGAACAAACCCUUGUUGCUGCCAGAAGUGUUUUCUCAAUGUUCUUUGUGCUAGUUAUCUAGCAAAGGCAGAAUAAAGGUUGGGGGGGGGAGUGCCGUCAAUCUGCCUCAUGAAAGAAUCUCUUGGAAAACUCAUCCCUCUGGCUCCUCCUGAAUUGAUGACCUCAGUCCAUGUGCCAGAGUGCAUGAGCGCCAUUACUGCUGGAGCGCUUCCUACGAGACGGAGCCAACCUUUACUACAGAGAACUGGAGCUAUAACUAUGCAGACUUUUGGCAACAUUGCGUUUAAGAAAGCUGAAGAGAGAAUUUGGGUGUUCAAAAAUGGAACCGUUCCAAAAUACAGGCAUCUCUCCAGUUUUCAAUGCUCAUUUUUAUGAGACUGACGCAGCACUUAAUGCAAGCACACCCAGAUAUUCCACAAGAAGUACUUCUACGGUUCAGAAACCCACCCUGUAAAGAGCACUAAUGCAAAGCAUAUUGCCACAUUUGCUGCAAAGCAAAGAGUGCUGUGAUCCUCAAAAUCUGAAUCCCUCCCCUCUCUCACACACAUCCAUAGACCAUAUGGUUCUAAUCAAAACUUCUGGAAGAAAAAGAGGGGGACAGCAUACCAAAGUUUGAAUCUAAGAAAGGAAGUUCUGUGGUGUUUUCGAGCGGAUCUAAAUUGGGCAUCAAAAACACACGAUGUUGCCUAAUAAAAUAGGAAAAUUAAGACAAGGCUCUCACUUGGCUAUAAUGUUUAAUUGCGCAUACAGAAUAACUUCAGGACUCAGAAAUGCUGGGCUCAGUGUUUUGAUUUAAUGCCCCUUUUAAUCAUGCUGAAAUCUGUGGUCUAUAUAUGAAAAAUCUGAAGUUCAGUCAGCCAUAAAGUACUAUAAGGGGGAGAAAUGAAUUGGAAGCCUGCAUGUGCCAUUGAGUCAGAUUUGGGACAGAUGCAUUUGUAAAAAAUAAAAAGGCACUUGUUUAUUUGUA